UGGAGUUCGAAGCUUAUGGUAAAAUUCGUAGUUACUCUAAUUGAACAGGGAAAUGGUGAGCUAGUGGCUGUGCCCAUGAGCGUUGAGGAAGAGGAACAAGUUUAUCCCCAGUUUGCAUGCUUGGAAAUGAAUUGUGCAAAACGAUUGAAGGAUUGAAGGCUACAAUUGGUCCUUAAUUAUGCUGAAAUUGCGCUCCCGAUUGAGGCUGCAUUUGGCUAUUUACGAAGCCGUGGUCACGAGCCAGUUCCGGUUCGUGGUUCGUGGCCAGGAGGGAAUGUGAAUAGGCUCUUGUAGCCGUGAGGCUGAUUUUUAUUGGUUUUUCUUUGAUUUGGAUUAAAGUAUUUUUACGGUUGGAAUAAUUUUUUAAAAUUUUCAAUUUGAAUUGGAUUGGAUCAGGCUGUGGGACUGAAUCAUUAAUUACAAUUUAGCUGAAGUUUAAUAGGGAGAAGAUCCAGUUUAAAUUAAUAUUUGACCGUUUAGGACCCAAACGGGUCUUGGUCAUGUCUAUGUUUGUAACCCAAUUGAUGGGCGGGUACUCAGAGGCCCAUUAGCAGUAACGGCUCAGGUCUUCCCUUUCCAAAACCUUCUCUGUUAAUAUGGAAAUUCAUUCAAAGCCAUGUCUGUUACUGAUUAUCUCAGGUCGCUUGCUGAGUUUUAAAUCCCAACUUCAGUCUCCAAUUCUCUCAGAUUUUUCUGUCAGAUCGUUCAGAUAUCCUACUCAAAUACUUGGAAUACGUAUACGUACGCCUACUAAAGUAGGGUGCGAAUGGAGAGCUUACCUACAACGACGAAAUCAGAGAGGCGAUGGAGAUCGAAGCCUCUGCAGAGCUCGAAACCCUCUCUAGUAUUGGCAUUCUUCUCUUGCGUGGCUUGGCUCUACGUUGCCGGACGGUUCGUUUCUCUCUUUUUCUUUGCUUUGAUCAUUUCCCACUUUCCUUCAAUUCCCGGUUUCUUUCCCCGGAAAAUGUAGCAUCGAGAUUAACCAUAUAAUUGCUGUAUUAGGAUGUGUUUGGCCAAAUCGACUUAAUUUCUUAAUUUGUAUAAUUCUGAAUUUUUGCUAUUAUAAUAAAUGAUUGACUUGGUCUCGUUGAUUUCUGUUCGAUGUGAGGUAAAUGGAAUUUGGAUCCAAUUCCAGUGGAUCCUCUGAAUGACUAUUUGACAGUUUCAAUUUUCUGCAACCAACAGGGCUUAAAUUAAAAUAUUUUGAUUUGAUACACUCACUGCGUUAUAUCUCCUUAGCUAAGCUAGCUAAUAGAUUGUGUUGUUCGUUUUGGAUACAAGAGGACUGAUGAGUGGUAACAAUUUACGCCUUCUUUCUUUUCGGAAAUCACCAGAUUGUGGCAAGAUGCGGAGAACAGAACAUUGCUAUCUAAUCUUCUUAAGAUGAAUGCAGCCCAGGUUUGUUUGGCCUACUCUCUUUUUGAUAAAGGCAUCUGAAAAGGCCCUUUUUAAGGGUGGUUGUGGGUGUUAAUUUUUAGUUCAUGGUUCCAGUUAAAAAAACUGAGGAAUGGUAUCAUGCCCAAAUGCCUUUUUUUCCUCCAUAAGUGCAAUUAUAUAUGAUCUGUUAUUAAUUGUUCAUUUUUUGCACUUGUUGGCAGAGACCCAAGGUUCCUACUGUUGAAGAUAAGCUAGCUGACCUAGGAUGCAAAGAUCUCGAGAGGAGGAUUGUGGAGGCUGAGAUGGAGUUGACCUUGGCCAAGAGUCAAGGUUACCUCAAGAACCAGCUGCAGCAUAGUGGAUCUUCAGAUCGGAAGCUUCUUGCAGUUAUUGGAGUUUAUACUGGAUUUGGCAGUCGUUUAAAGCGAAAUAUGUUUAGAGGGUCAUGGAUGCCUAGAGGUGAUGCCUUGAAAAGACUCGAGGAAAGGGGAGUGAUGAUACGUUUUGUGAUUGGCCGGAGUGCUAAUCGGGGUGAUAGUUUGGAUCGCCAUAUUGAUUAUGAAAAUAUCUCAACAAAGGAUUUCUUGAUUCUUGAGGGUCAUGAGGAGGCACAAGAAGAAUUGCCAAAGAAAGCAAAAUUCUUCUUUAGCACUGCAGCACAAAAUUGGGAUGCAGAAUUUUAUGUGAAAGUUGAUGACAAUAUAAAUCUUGAUCUUGAAGGGUUAAUUGGAAUUCUUGAACGCCGUCGUGGUCAAGAUAGCGCUUACAUUGGUUGCAUGAAGUCAGGAGAUGUGAUAACUGAAGAGUACGUGUUCUGUAAUUAAUUACUUCAGCCUCAUUGCAACUGCCUAUCCUUUAUGUUAUAUCAUACAGUACGGACAUUUAGAUAUAUUCUUAUAAAAUUUAUAUACUAAUUAGAAUUUUAACUGAACUUGUUGGAUUUCUCUUCCCAAUGCAUGUGGAGUUUGAAUUUUCCUAACACUGGCGUCAUUCUGUCAAGUUGUAGAAAAUUUAUGCUUGAAACACGUGUUAACCAUGUUGUUUCUGUUUUUUGUGGUAUUUGUAACUACUUGCUAAUCCUAAAUAGGCUUCCUAUGAGUUUAGUUCAAAGGUUCUUAUUUGCAAAUUCUAUUUUUUUUCUUUUCUCUCAUAAAUGGGUUGAGGGUAUAUUCUUUGCUUUUGUCAGUCCUAAUGCUUUGGUUUCAGUAUUUGAACUGCUAUUAUUUUCAGAGGAAAGCAAUGGUAUGAGUCUGAAUGGUGGAAAUUUGGGGAUGAGAAAUCGUAAGUGCUUUAUUGUAGUAAUAGUAUAGUUCUGAAUGCUUUUGGAGUGGUCAAGUUUGACCAUAUUCAUUUUUUGAUUGUUUCAGGUACUUCCGACAUGCUGCUGGUGCACUUUUAAUACUCUCCAAAAAUUUGGCCCAGUAUAUUAACAUAAAUAGGUUAGUUAUAGAUGUUGCAACUGGACAAGUGGUGUUUAGGGUCUAGCCUUAAGUUGUGGAAGUCAGUAUAAAGUUAAGGCUAUGAUUGGAGCAGUGGCUCAUUGCAAAUUGGGUGACAAUGAGACCCCCUAUAAUCAUUAUUAUGUUUUAAAGCUUAAUUGCAAGCUACUAUAUUUGCAAAGCUCUGGAAUAAUCAGUAAUCCAUAAAUUCUCCUCACUGUGCUUCUGUGGUCAUGACACACGAGCCAUAAAUUUUGAGGAGAUAGGAUGCUUGUUUCUUGUUCUGAGUAAUGAUGUUCAGCGUUUUCACACUACUGGUGGAGUUCAUUUCUCUGAAUUAAAUUUGAGCUGUCUCACACUUUGGUCACCCUGUGCGCAUGAAUUUUAAUAUUUCUUUUAAUUCUUAAUUACAUGCAGUGCAUCUCUAAAGACUUACGCUCAUGAUGAUAUAUCUGUGGGAUCUUGGAUGAUGGGUCUUCAAGCUACUUACAUUGAUGAUAAUCGUUUUUGUUGCAGUAGCAUUAAACAAGGUGAACUUGCUCCUUUGCUGUUAUUUUGAUGAAUUGAGCCUUUAUUAGUAGAGCUUUUUCUUCUUAUUUGAAAGGCCAACUUUUCACUUGCAGAUAAAGUGUGUUCUCUAGCAUGAUCAGAGCAUAGGAGAGGGACUUAACUUUCCUCAAAAUUCAUGUUCUACUUUGCUGUAAUGGAUGGCAUGCAUCUGUUGUUGCAUCCACUCAUUGUCAGGAUCAGUGGAGCAUCGACUAGAUAAUUCUUUCCAGAUGUGGCGAUUGGCUGCAAUUCUUUCAGGAUAAACACAGGUUAACGACAAUAUGAACUCAGAGUGGGCCAACUUUUGGCGUACGACUGCUCUCUGAUAAGUUUGUUGAUAGCCUUGCAUGAAUUGUGAUCAACAGAAUAGCUUCUCUACAUGUGAUCGAUCAUGUUUUUCUGUAUAUCCUUUUGUCUCAAGCUGCUGCUAAUGGAAAGUAGCGCAAACAGUAGUUUGUCAAUUUUCCAGCAUGAACAGCAGUACCAAGUUUUUUGCUGUUACACCAAAUUAUUUGCAAUAUUUAACAUCCUUAUUAUUGUGAUUACUGAUUAGCAGUAACUUGUAGCCUGAAGUGUUUAUGAGUGUUGCACACACUUGAUAAUCUCUCAUGAAUUUUAUCAGUAUGUUUAAGUGUCAAA
rnacentral:misc_RNA from 1 species